AUUGCACGCUGGCGGCAGGCCUAACACAUGCAAGUCUCACGAGUGGCGGACGUGUGAGUAAUGUCUGGGAAACUGCCUGAUGGGGGGGUCUAACAACUGGAAACGGUAGCUAAUCCCGCAUACUAUCAGAUGUGCACAUAUGGGAUUGGAUUGUUGGUGGGGUAACGGAUCACCAAGACGACCAUCCCUAGGUGGUCUGAGAGGUUGACCAGCCAAACUGGAACUGAGACACGGUCCAGACGCCUACGGGAGGCAGCAGGGGAGAAUAUUGCACAAUGGGCGCAAGCCUGAUGCAGCCAUGCCGCGGUGAUGAAGAGGGCCUUCGGGUUGUAAAGUACUUUCAGCGGGGAGGCGUUACCCGCAGAAGAAGCACCGGCUAACUCCGUGCCAGCAGCCGCGGUAAUUC
rnacentral:rRNA from 1 species